rnacentral:rRNA from 1 species
CGCUGAACUUAAGCAUAUCAAUAAGCGGAGGAAAAGAAACCAACAGGGAUUGCCUCAGUAACGGCGAGUGAAGCGGCAACAGCUCAAAUUUGAAAUCUGACCCCUUCGGGGCCCGAGUUGUAAUUUGUAGAGGAUGCUUCGGGUGCGGCGCCGGUCUAAGUUCCUUGGAACAGGACGUCAUAGAGGGUGAGAAUCCCGUAUGCGACCGGCGGCCAACCCCGUGUGAAGCCCCUUCGACGAGUCGAGUUGUUUGGGAAUGCAGCUCAAAAUGGGUGGUAAAUUUCAUCUAAAGCUAAAUACCGGCCAGAGACCGAUAGCGCACAAGUAGAGUGAUCGAAAGAUGAAAAGCACUUUGGAAAGAGAGUCAAACAGUACGUGAAAUUGUUGAAAGGGAAGCGCUUGCAACCAGACCUGCCCGCGGGCGAUCAGCCGUUAUUCUUAGCGGUGCACUCGUCCGCGAUCAGGCCAGCAUCGGUUCGAGCGGCCGGAUAAAGGCCUCGGGAAUGUAGCUCCCCCCGGGGAGUCUUAUAGCCCGGGGUGCAAUGCGGCCAGCCCGGACCGAGGACCGCGCUUCGGCUAGGAUGCUGGCGUAAUGGUUGUAAGCGACCCGUCUUGAAACACGGACC